UGCGUGACAAGCAGGGAAGGGACUACCCUGAAUGGAAGGAAGCCUAAAACCUGCCGGCACAGCCAAGCCCGAGGCUACGCUCACUUAACAAAGUCAAACAUCUGCUGAGCACCUACGAUGGGUACAGCUCUAAGUGAUGAAGCAACGGCACAAACGGUCCUGCCUUUGUGCGGUUUAGUCCGUUCAGACGCACUGCCCUGCGGUCACUCACAGUGGUGAAGAGGAUGCAGCCAAAGGGGGAACCUGUGCUCACUUAAGAGCUGGGGUUCAGUUGUCGGUCACAAUGGCUUUUCCAACGCCCUCCAUCUUCACACCAGCAUGUUCUCAGCUUUGACGGGAAUGGCCACCCGUGAACCCCGUCCAAACAGAUUCGUGGGCCGCGGCAUCAGGGACGGGAGCCAUGCCUGUCCAGGGACCAGCAGCUCCUGCGGUACCGGAGCUGCUGGGAGAUCCAUCCACGGCUCUGUGCUCUUAUCUUCGUAGGAAAUGAAACUUGGCUGAAGUUACACUUUUGCGUUCGCAGGAAACAGCUGCAGCGAAUCUAGGUUCAUGACAGGAACAAUCCAAGUCACAAGACAGUAGAAAACUUCAUUAAAGCUUAUUGAGUGAAGCAGA